AAAGAGGGCUGAGCCUCACACACAUAAUCAGCGCAGCUUCUCAAUGGGGGGACGGAGCAAAGAGGAGACAGAACUGUCGUUCCGCUGGAGCUGAUCUCAGUCCGUGUGUGAGAAGUGAGGAGGCAAAUUAACGUUCUGUCGUCACGAGGGAUUUUACCUUCACAGUACUGAUCUAAAGGUGAUAUGAGCAGCCUUCCAUCUUGUAAACACUGACUAGUUUGUAACAGCGUGUCAUUCCUGUGAGCUGAGGUGGUUUCUGGUGACCGCACUCCCAGGAUUUCAGACGGACAGAGAGAGUCGAGGGGGGCAAGCGGACGAGGCAGAAACAACAGAGCUUCUCCCCCUCUUAUCCUGCAGCGUUGUUCUUCUUUACACCUGGAACUUUGUUGGGAAUCCCUGGCCUCAGACUAUGGAUGGAUUUAAGACAGCGUUGUGAGUCUGUUGAACAGACGGUGAUACUGACAGCAGGGCACCCUUUCUUUUGACCAGACAGACCACUCAGCCACCCUCCCAGUCUGCCCUGCCAUGUCCUUGUUCCUGGGCCUGUGGAUUAGCCUGGGCUUCCUGCUGCUGUGCCAGGCCACGCUGUACGAGACCCUCCAGCAGCACCACGUGCCCCGGCCCGGACGCAAUGCCAUCCAGAUCCUGGAAGGAGGGACGUGUGAGGUGAUCGCAGCCCACCGGUGCUGUAAUAAGAACCGUAUCGAGGAGCGCUCCCAGACCGUCAAGUGCUCCUGUCUACCGGGGAAAGUGGCCGGGACGACACGCAACAAACCCUCUUGUGUGGACGCGUCCAUUGUGAUUGGGAAGUGGUGGUGUGAGAUGGAGCCCUGUUUGGAGGGAGAGGAGUGUAAGACUCUGCCUGAUAACUCUGGAUGGAUGUGCUCCUCUGGGAACAAGAUCAAGACCACAAGGAACACUGCGCCAUACUCACCUUUUUAGCUCUGGAAGCAAAAUGCAGAGGAUGCUUCAACAGAAACUGAGCUGCAUUCUUGCUUCUGUAAAGAUUCAUCCCAGGACCUAACAAAGAGUUCCCUCGCAGGCUCCCAGCCAGGAUCCCCUCCCUCCAAAUGGACUAAAACCAUUACAUCAACGACGACUGACUGGAUUACCUGUGACCGCAAAAAGGAUAUCCUCUGAAAUAAAACAGCUUUGCUAGCGUGGUGCCAAGGGUUUUAGACCAGACUAAUCCCCUUUUUGAUCAAUGAGCCUCACGUCGGUGUUACUCUACGAGAACAACCAUGGCCAAUUUCCCAAAUACUCUUUUUUUCUCCCCUUCAAAACGAAAACAGCUUAGCCGGGGUUAUUUAGAUGUUGUAAAAACAUUAUUUGAAAACACUAACGCCUCCCCAAAGGUAAACUGGAUGAUCCUCACUGAGACUCAGUGCUACUGAGCAGGGGAUCCUACAGGAUCAGUGGCACAUUGGAGGGACAUUAUGUGGGGAUUGCUUUUACCUAUUUCAUCAUCCUUGUCAACGGCAUCCAUCUUAGAAGCGACAUCUCAGCAUGCCAGCUUUCCUGUGACUGUGUGGAGCCUGGGCAGUGACCCUGUCUGCUGUUCACUCUGCCUACGCAACACAAUGCCGCAGGAACAACAACGAGCGCUGAGUAAACAGACGCUGAGAGGUCACAGGGGUCAACCCGGGGGCCCACAGUCACUGUCCAUGAUUGACAUGUCAGUCAGAAGUCUUCUUUGUUGGCAUGCUCUAUGUAAUUCAUUGGAGCUUUUUCUUUGUACGUAAGAUGCUUUGUGUAUAUAUACAUAUAUAAAUACAGUACAUAUAAAAAGAGUAUGUGGGCUCCCUUAUACAGUAAACAAAAUAUUCUGCACGGAGAUCCUUUUGUGGGAUUCUUCAUUUCUGUCCCUGAUUAUGAAGUACAGUGAAUUUCUAGUCAAAGGUAGUGGUUGAAUCUCCUCUCUGUGUAUAGGACUGUUUACAGUGUUUGCUUGUAUUGAGAAUCUCUGGAAUAGCCUUACCGGAUCAUCAUGAGAAAGUAUUGGUCUUAUUCACCAUUCAGUGAUGUACUUGGAAGAUAGGAAUCUCUUUAGCUUCUGUAAAGAUGAUAAAAACACUGUACAGAACUGUCUAACAAAACAAACUAUAAUCAACAGCGAUCCACGUCCUCUUUUCUGUGCUAAAUUAGAGAUAACAGUGCAACUGGGCCCAGUAUCUGAGAGUUAACGCCUGUUAUUAUUUCAUUUCCUGUGUCUGCUAUGGAGAAUGAGUGUGGACUUGGCUGUCAAUCAAUCAAAUGUAUUUAUAAAGCCCUUUUUACAUCAGCCAAUGUCACAAGUUCUAUACAGAAACCCAGCC